rnacentral:rRNA from 1 species
GACAGAGGAUGCAAGCGUUAUCCGGAAUGAUUGGGCGUAAAGCGUCUGUAGGUGGCUUUUUAAGUCCGCCGUCAAAUCCCAGGGCUCAACCCUGGACAGGACGGGUGGAAACUACCAACGCUGGAGUACGGUAGGGGCAGGAGGGAAUUUCCAGUGGAGCGGUGAAAUGCGUAGAGAUUGGAAAGAACACCGAUGGCGAAGGCAACUUUACUGGGCUAUUACUAACACUCAGAGACGAAAGCUAGGGUAGCAAAUGGG